rnacentral:rRNA from 1 species
GACGAACGCUGGCGGCGUGCUUAACACAUGCAAGUCGAGCGGUAAGGCCCUUUCGGGGGUACGACGAGCGGCGAACGGGUGAGUAACACGUGGGUGACCUGCCCUCAGCUCUGGGAUAAGCCUGGGAAACCGGGUCUAAUACCGGAUAUGACUCCAUGACGCAUGUUGUGGGGUGGAAAGCCUUGUGCGGCUGAGGAUGGGCCCGCGGCCUAUCAGCUUGUUGGUGGGGUGAGGCCUACCAAGGCGACGACGGGUAGCCGGCCUGAGAGGGCGACCGGCACACUGGGACUGAGACACGGCCCAGACUCCUACGGGAGGCAGCAGGUGGGGAAUCUUGCGCAAUGGGCGAAAGCCUGACGCAGCGACGCCGCGUGAGGGAUGA